rnacentral:tRNA from 1 species
GCCCAUGUGGCUCAGUGGUAGAGCACUCCCUUGGUAAGGGAGAGGUCGAGUGUUCAAUCCACUCCGUGGGCACCA